AUUGAACGCUGGCGGAAUGCUUUACACAUGCAAGUCGAACGGCAGCACGGACUUCGGUCUGGUGGCGAGUGGCGAACGGGUGAGUAAUAUAUCGGAACGUAUCCAAUAAUGGGGGAUAACUAAUCGAAAGGUUGGCUAAUACCGCAUACGUCCUACGGGAGAAAGCUAGGGACCUUCGGGCUUGGCGUUAAUGGAGCGGCCGAUAUCGGAUUAGCUAGUUGGUGAGGUAAAGGCUCACCAAGGCGACGAGCCGUAGCUGGUCUGAGAGGACGACCAGCCACACUGGAACUGAGACACGGUCCAGACUCCUACGGGAGGCAGCAGUGGGGAAUUUUGGACAAUGGGCGAAAGCCUGAUCCAGCCAUUCCGCGUGAGUGAAGAAGGCCUUCGGGUUGUAAAGCUCUUUCGCAAGAGAAGAAAACUUACCCUCUAACAUAGGGUGAGGUUGACGGUAUCUUGAUAAGAAGCACCGGCUAACUACGUGCCAGCAGCCGCAGUAA
rnacentral:rRNA from 1 species